rnacentral:misc_RNA from 1 species
ACACCUCAACUCUCAUGGCUUUGCCAUGAUGAGCUUGGCCUUUGGGGGUCUUGCUGGCCUGUGGUCGGCUCCUCUCAAAUGAAUUAGCUUGCCAGUGUUUGGUGGCAUCACAGGUGUGAUAACUAUCUACGCUUGUGGUUUUCCACCAGGUAACCUUCAGUGAUGAAGGUUCGCUGGGGCUCAUAAAUGUCUCUCCUCAGCGAGGACAGCUCUUUGAAC